rnacentral:rRNA from 1 species
UGGGGAAUAUUGCAAAAUGGGCGCAAGCCUGAUUCCGCCAUGCCGCGUGUAUGAAGAAGGCCUUCGGGGUGUAAAGUACUUUCAGUCGGGAGGAAGGUGGUAAGGUUAAUAACCUUAUCAAUUGACGUUACCGACAGAAGAAGCACCGGCUAACUCCGUGCCAGCAGCCGCGGUAAUACGGAGGGUGCAAGCGUUAAUCGGAAUUACUGGGCGUAAAGCGCACGCAGGCGGUUGAUUGAGUCAGAUGUGAAAUCCCCGGGCUUAACCCGGGAAUUGCAUCUGAAACUGGUCAGCUAGAGUCGUGUAGAGGGGGGUAGAAUUCCAUGUGUAGCGGUGAAAUGCGUAGAGAUGUGGAGGAAUACCGGUGGCGAAGGCGGCCCCCUGGACGAAGACUGACGCUCAGGUGCGAAAGCGUGGGGAGCAAACAGG